GACGAACGCCGGCGGCGUGCCUAAUACAUGCAAGUAGAACGCUGAAGAGAGGAGCUUGCUCUUCUUGGAUGAGUUGCGAACGGGUGAGUAACGCGUAGGUAACCUGCCUGGUAGCGGGGGAUAACUAUUGGAGACGAUAGCUAAUACCGCAUAAAAUGGAUUAUCGCAUGAUAAUCCAUUGAAAGGUGCAAAUGCAUCACUACCAGAUGGACCUGCGUUGUAUUAGCUAGUUGGUGGGGUAACGGCUCACCAAGGCGACGAUACAUAGCCGACCUGAGAGGGUGAUCGGCCACACUGGGACUGAGACACGGCCCAGACUCCUACGGGAGGCAGCAGUAGGGAAUCUUCGGCAAUGGACGGAAGUCUGACCGAGCAACGCCGCGUGAGUGAAGAAGGUUUUCGGAUCGUAAAGCUCUGUUGUAAGAGAAGAACGAGUGUGAGAGUGGAAAGUUCACACUGUGACGGUAUCUUACCA
rnacentral:rRNA from 1 species